rnacentral:rRNA from 1 species
AUUGAACGCUGGCGGCAUGCCUUACACAUGCAAGUCGAACGGCAGCACGGGAGCAAUCCUGGUGGCGAGUGGCGAACGGGUGAGUAAUAUAUCGGAACGUGCCCAGUCGUGGGGAUAACGUAGCGAAAGCUACGCUAAUACCGCAUACGAUCUAUGGAUGAAAGCGGGGGAUCGCAAGACCUCGCGCGAUUGGAGCGGCCGAUAUCAGAUUAGGUAGUUGGUGAGGUAAAGGCUCACCAAGCCGACGAUCUGUAGCUGGUCUGAGAGGACGACCAGCCACACUGGGACUGAGACACGGCCCAGACUCCUACGGGAGGCAGCAGUGGGGAAUUUUUGGACAAUGGGCGCAAGCCUGAUCCAGCAAUGCCGCGUGCAGGAAGAAGGCCUUCGGG